rnacentral:rRNA from 1 species
CUACGGGUUGCAGCAGUGAGGAAUUUUGCGCAAUGGGGGAAACCCUGACGCAGCAACGCCGUGUGAGUGAAGAAGGCCUUCGGGUCGUAAAGCUCUGUCAAGUGGGAAAAAAGUCUUUCGGUAAAUAGCCGGAAGGCCUGAUGGUACCACUAAAGGAAGCACCGGCUAACUCCGUGCCAGCAGCCGCGGUAAUACGGAGGGUGCUAGCGUUGUUCGGAAUUAUUGGGCGUAAAGAGCGUGUAGGCGGCUUGGUAAGUCAGAUGUGAAAGCCCUGGGCUCACCUCAGGAAGUGCAUUUGAUACUGCUUUGCUUGAGUAUGGGAGAGGAGAGGGGAAUUCCCAGUGUAGAGGUGAAAUUCGUAGAGAUUGGGAGGAACACCCGUGGCGAAGGCGACUCUCUGGACCAAUACUGACGCUGAGACGCGAAAGCGUGGGGAGCAAACAGGAUUAGAUACCCGCGUAGUC